UCAGGAUGAACGCUGGCGGCGUGCUUAACACAUGCAAGUCGAACGAUGAAGCCCAGCUUGCUGGGUGGAUUAGUGGCGAACGGGUGAGUAACACGUGAGUAACCUGCCCUUAACUCUGGGAUAAGCCUGGGAAACUGGGUCUAAUACCGGAUAGGAGCGCCGACCGCAUGGUGGGUGUUGGAAAGAUUUAUCGGUUUUGGAUGGACUCGCGGCCUAUCAGCUUGUUGGUGAGGUAAUGGCUCACCAAGGCGACGACGGGUAGCCGGCCUGAGAGGGUGACCGGCCACACUGGGACUGAGACACGGCCCAGACUCCUACGGGAGGCAGCAGUGGGGAAUAUUGCACAAUGGGCGCAAGCCUGAUGCAGCGACGCCGCGUGAGGGAUGACGGCCUUCGGGUUGUAAACCUCUUUCAGUAGGGAAGAAGCGAAAGUGACGGUACCUGCAGAAGAAGCACCGGCUAACUACGUGCCAGCAGCCGCGGUAAUACGUAGGGUGCGAGCGUUAUCCGGAAUUAUUGGGCGUAAAGAGCUCGUAGGCGGUUUGUCGCGUCUGUCGUGAAAGUCCGGGGCUUAACCCCGGAUCUGCGGUGGGUACGGGCAGACUAGAGUGCAGUAGGGGAGACUGGAAUUCCUGGUGUAGCGGUGGAAUGCGCAGAUAUCAGGAGGAACACCGAUGGCGAAGGCAGGUCUCUGGGCUGUAACUGACGCUGAGGAGCGAAAGCAUGGGGAGCGAACAGGAUUAGAUACCCUGGUAGUCCAUGCCGUAAACGUUGGGCACUAGGUGUGGGGACCAUUCCACGGUUUCCGCGCCGCAGCUAACGCAUUAAGUGCCCCGCCUGGGGAGUACGGCCGCAAGGCUAAAACUCAAAGGAAUUGACGGGGGCCCGCACAAGCGGCGGAGCAUGCGGAUUAAUUCGAUGCAACGCGAAGAACCUUACCAAGGCUUGACAUGUUCUCGAUCGCCGUAGAGAUACGGUUUCCCCUUUGGGGCGGGUUCAC
rnacentral:rRNA from 1 species